AACGAACGCUGGCGGCAGGCCUAACACAUGCAAGUCGAGCGAAGCCUUCGGGCUUAGCGGCGGACGGGUGAGUAACGCGUGGGAACGUGCCCUUUGCUACGGAAUAGCCCCGGGAAACUGGGAGUAAUACCGUAUGUGCCCUUCGGGGGAGAGAUUUAUCGGCAAAGGAUCGGCCCGCGUUGGAUUAGGUAGUUGGUGGGGUAAUGGCCUACCAAGCCGACGAUCCAUAGCUGGUUUGAGAGGAUGAUCAGCCACACUGGGACUGAGACACGGCCCAGACUCCUACGGGAGGCAGCAGUGGGGAAUCUUAGACAAUGGGGGAAACCCUGAUCUAGCCAUGCCGCGUGAUCGAUGAAGGCCUUAGGGUUGUAAAGAUCUUUCAGUGGGGAAGAUAAUGACUGUACCCACAGAAGAAGCCCCGGCUAACUCCGUGCCAGCCGCCGCCGUAAUAC
rnacentral:rRNA from 1 species